CCUACGGGUGGCAGCAGUGGGGGAUAUUGCACAAUGGGGGAAACCCUGAUGCAGCGACGCCGCGUGGGUGAAGAAGCGCCUCGGCGCGUAAAGCCCUGUCAGCAGGGAAGAAAAUGACGGUACCUGAAGAAGCAGCCCCGGCUAACUACGUGCCAGCAGCCGCGGGCAUACGUAGGGGGCAAGCGUUAUCCGGAUUUACUGGGUGUAAAGGGGGCGCAGACGGCGAUGCAAGGCAGGAGGGAAAGCCCGGGGGCCAACCCCGGGACUGCUGUUGAAACUGCGUGGCUAGAGUGCAGGAGGGGCAGGCGGAAUGCCUGGUGUAGCGGUGAAAUGCGUAGAUAUCAGGAAGAACACCGAUGGCGAAGGCGGCCUUCUGGACUGCAACUGACGUUGAGGCCCGAAAGCGUGGGGAGCAAACAGGAUUAGAUACCCGAGUAGUC
rnacentral:rRNA from 1 species